UACGAAGGGGGCUAGCGUUGUUCGGAAUUACUGGGCGUAAAGCGCGUGUAGGCGGGGCCUUAAGUCAGGGGUGAAAUGCCAAGGCUCAACCUUGGAACUGCCUUUGAUACUGGGGAUCUUGAGUCCGGGAGAGGUGAGUGGAACUGCGAGUGUAGAGGUGAAAUUCGUAGAUAUUCGCAAGAACACCAGUGGCGAAGGCGGCUCUCUGGGCCUGUACUGACGCUGAGGAGCGAAAGCGUGGGGAGCGAACAGG
rnacentral:rRNA from 1 species